CCUGAAUAUGUCUGAUCUCAUCUAAUCUCAGUAGCUAAGCAGG
rnacentral:rRNA from 1 species